rnacentral:rRNA from 1 species
CCUACGGGAGGCAGCAGUAGGGAAUAUUGCUCACUGGGGGAAACCCUGAUGCAGCAACGCCGCGUGGAGGAUGAAGUUUUUCGGAUUGUAAACUCCUUUUGGUAGAGAAGAUAAUGACGGUAUCUAACGAAUAAGCACCGGCUAACUCCGUGCCAGCAGCCGCGGUAAUACGGAGGGUGCAAGCGUUACUCGGAAUUACUGGGCGUAAAGAGAGCGUAGGCGGGAUAGCAAGUCAGAGUUGAAAGCCUAUGGCUUAACCAUAGAACUGCAUUUGAAACUGUUCUUCUAGAGUAUAGGAGAGGUAGGUGGAAUUCUUGGGGUAGGGGUAAAAUGCGUAGAGAUCAAGAGGAAUACUCAUUGCGAAGGCGACCUGCUAGAACAUAACUGACGCUGAUGCGCGAAAGCGUGGGGAGCAAACAGGAUUAGAUACCCCGGUAGUC